UGGAGGGUGUAUGUUAAACGUAUAUAUAAAGUGGUUUGUGGUUAAUAGAAAUGUACUGGAUAUUCUGCAGCUCAUCAGCUGAUCGUGUAUGGACAAAAUUCAGUGUUUGCAUUGCGCAUUUUAACUUUUUGACCCUGCAUGCCAUCAUUUGCAGCAUUGCCUGCUUCCGCAACGGAUACUAUGCAUCCACUUGUCUGACCAGUAUAUCGCGCUUCGAUAUUAACAGAAAAAGAAAGGCGAUCUCUACCUACACUGUUAUCAAUCAACAGCAACGCAUAAAAUUAUUCCCAGGUUUCUGAGGAAAAUUGACGAGUAAUCGUUAAUUAACUUAACUUGAAGUCACAAUGGGCGUCAUGGUUUUCCCCGAUGCCAGUUCUUCGGACAGAAUUGACCAAAGCUUCAAACCGCCAUUGACAAGGUACGGACACAAUACAGAAGUCGGAAAGUCCCUGCUUUCGCUGAAGUCCGCUGCUGACAGUGAACAGAAACAUUCCACAGACACGGCACGGCGUACUAAGGCGAACCUUCGAAAGGCUACCGGAAACGCCAAAGACAAUGUGUGCGCAGCCGUCGUGGUGUUCGGCGCGGGAUUGGCUCUGUUUAUUGUGCAUGGAAUCACAUGGUCGUCUGGGGUUCUUUACGUCGUCUUCUUGGACGCUUUCAAUCAAAGCAGAGCAGAAACUGCCUGGAUCGGCUCACUACUCGCAGCGUGUGGAUUUGCAGCUAGUCCCAUCUCAAGUAUCUUGGUGAACCGCUAUGGGUGUCGUUUCGUGGUCAUGCUCUCUGGCGUCAUCAUCACUGUUGGCAUGUGUAUCAGCACUUUCGCCAAUAACGUCUAUCUUCUUUUUUUCUCUUACGGCGUCGUGGCAGGUGUAGGUUGUGGGUUCGUUUACGUGCCGGCCAACGUUAUCGUCUCUCAGUACUUCUCUAAACGCCGGACUAUUGCUCUGGGUCUGUCGACGUGCUGCGGUGGGUUGGGCAGUUUUGCCUUCCCUCCCUUACUCCAGGUGCUUCUGGAAGAGUACAGUUGGCGGGGAACGUUUCUCAUCAUCGGUGGAAUUUCCUUGAACAUCUGCGUGGCUGGUGCCCUGAUGCGGCCAGCAGCAGUCACGCAGUCCAAGAUCAACGUGAGGGCCAAAAGAGACUUAAGCAUCUUCAAGAACAUCCACUAUCAUAUCCUCUGCUGGAACAACGUCCUCUUUUGCUUCGCAACGUCCAUCGUGUACAUCCAUUUAGGAUCCUUCGCCAAAAUAUCUGUUGGCAUCAAUGACUCACAGAGCUCCAUGCUCUUCUCCAUGAUCGGCGCAUUUACCUUUGUGGGGCGAUUCGGUUUUGGCCUCUUAGCCCAAGUCAGGACCUUGCGUCCUGUUCUGAUUUACAUGAUAUUCUUCCUUUUGGGAGGGGUAGGAACGCUGUGUGUUCCCACGAUGGACAGUUUCAAGCUGCUCAUCAUGUACUCUGCCUUAUUCGGACUGGCGUUCGCCGCCCUAGGUGGCGCUUUGUUACCUUCUAUUCUCAUCGACAUAGCUGGCCUGGACAGUCUGUCGUUCUCCUACGGUGUCCUCAUUCUUUACGAGUCUAUUGGACAGGUAUUGGGGGCCCCAGUUGCGGGCUGGAUAUUUGAAAAGUUCAACUCCUACAAUCCGUCCUUCUACAUGGGUGGUGCUAUGGUGGUGCUUAGUGGUGUGAUGAUGCUGGUGCCCGUGGUCACCGCUUACAGGUCCACGCACAUGAUCGUAACGGAAGAAGAGUUUUAUGAGGAAGAAAUUGAAGGGUUUUAUGGCUCGAAAACAGACACCGAUGGUCGUGUCGAAGUGAUGUAAGUUCGAAAACUCUUCAGAGUUUGGGAGGGAAACAAAAUCACGCUCGGUUGUUAUGGCAAUGGUUCCGGUCCUAGCCACGCACACUCGCCCUGUCUGGAUAACAUCCGGUGCGCCAGAGCGGCCAUCAGACCUAGGAGCAGUAGUGGCAACCACAUUUCUAUACUCUUAUCCGGAGAAACCUUUAUGGUGGAGCGUGAGUCAGGUGACAACAGUGUGAAUGGUUGCCGUGGGAGAUGGAGAGGAAAUGUUCAGAAAUGCUCCACGGGAAUGAAGACCUCAGAGAAUGGAAUUCUUCAGUUUUCGACAAAGCGGUCCUUAGCUGUGUGCGCGUUUGUCCCCUGCUGUCGUCGGGCAACAUGCGGGAACUGUUCGUAAUCCGCAUGCUCUACACAACAUACAUGUAGCUGACACGCACGCACUAUUGCGCGUUACAAAAGACAAUGACGUGUUUUGACUCAGUUCUGGAUCGUUUUGUGUAGCAGAGUCUUCCUAUACCAUGUAUGACAUUCUACGCUGGUGUGCACCUACAGCAACUAUGGAACUUAAAGAAGUCCGAUAUACAGCACGGAGUAACACUGAAAGAAGUCAACUAUGCAGCACGCAGUAACACUGAAAGAAGUCAGCUAUGCAGCACGCAGUAACACUGAAAGAAGUCAACUAUACAACGCAACUAUAUGUAGCGCGCAGUACCACUGCAUGGUGUCAACUGUGCAGCACACAGUGCCAUUGAAAUAAGACAGCUUUGUAGCGCACAAUUAUUGCUGUGUCCAGGAGACAACGAUGUGAUCUGUGAGGGCCAGUCUCCUAUUCCACUUGCGCCUCAACAAAGCCUUGAAAAGAACCGUUACCUGGUUUCCAGUUUUUAAAGCAUGGAUUACUUGGGUGGAUAAGAGACCAUUCUGUAGUUGUGGAAAGGUGAAGAAUAUGCAAACAAAUGAAGAAUAACGCUAUAACGACAGUUCUUUCUUUUGGUCUCCUUGGGUAUGUGGAGCAAAGAAUUGGCUCAAUGCUUUUGUAGAAAGGCAACGACGGCCUCAAAAUGGAAAGAAGAAAGACACUGUUGACGUUUUCUAGUUGCAACAUAGUUCGUCAAGACGACGAUGACUCUAGGCAAAUUCGAUGACAAUCUUGUUUUCUUUAUACUGUAUAAUUACCGCGCAGAAUGCAUUUACUUCCUGCUGGUCGAGGCCUUGUGAAAGAACAAGUCAUACGUUUAGUUUACUACUAACUACCAGUCACAUUAGCUCAUGUAAAGAACUGACAGAAUGCAAGAUAUCAUACAGUCUAUCAUUUGCUAAUCAAUGCUAUAAGACUAAUGUUUCAAACAAACAAACAAAUA